rnacentral:lncRNA from 1 species
AACAGAGACCAAAAAUGUUAUGGCCACAGAGCUAGCAAAUGACAGAGCCAGGAUAUCAACCUAGGAAGAUUUUUUUUUUUAAGAUUUUAUUUAUUUAUUCAUGAGAGACACAGAGAGAGAGGCAGAGACAUAGGCAGAGAGAGAAGCAGGCUCCCUGCAAGGAGCUCGAUGUGGAACUCAAUCCCAGGACCGCAGGAUCACGAUCUGAGCUGAAGACAGAUGCUCAACCACUGAGCCAUCCAGGUGCCCCCACUCCCACCCCAGGGAGACCUUAGUACCCUGCUAAAAACAUCUAUUACACGACUGUCAUUCUCAGAUUAGGCUUUGACCCUUCUUUCCCAUUCAGCAACGGGGGUCUAACAAUCUAGAGGGCAAUUGUCUCACAUCAAAGGGACCUUCCAAGCAAAAGCCUCUGCUUCCUCCAGGAAGCUCUUCCUAGCACUUUAGUAGAACCCUGGGCCCACCCCAUUCUGGCUCUCAGCUCAGUGACCUCACAAGAUUGGGAGCUUCUGAAGGAUAGGGACAAUUCAAUAUUGGGUCCACAGGCUCUCAACCAAGGUCUGUCACUAAGUAGGUAAACGAUUGUAUAACAAAUGAGCCUUUUGCUCUCGCACACCUCCAACAUAGGCACUUGAGGACCCUCAACCUUCAGCUGCCCAGAGUCCCAGAAUGCCUCUUCAGAACCCUCAGACUGAUGGUCCUUUCCAUACCUGCCCUCAAAGAUGGCUACUGGGGGUGGAGGGUGCUUGAUGUCUUUUUCCAGACCCUUCCUCCAGGGCAUUGGAUGGCGUAGGCAACAGAUGGAGUCCCAUAGAGCAACAGGAUGCUUCUCUUCCACGCAGUCACACCUGUACCCACUGCCUGCCAGCCGCCCCCACCUGCUAACCACACCACCCUAUCUUGAAAGCACAGAUGAUGAGGUCUUAAAGGUCAGAAAAAUGAUCCUCCAAAGGAAAUACAGAAGAAUAUACUUUGGAAUGGCUGAGCAAAGUAUGGACAUUCAAA